rnacentral:rRNA from 1 species
GACGGGGGAUGCAAGUGUUAUCCGGAAUCACUGGGCGUAAAGCGUCUGUAGGUGGUCAAAUAAGUCAACUGUUAAAUCUUGAGGCUCAACCUCAAAAUCGCAGUCGAAACUAUUAGACUAGAGUAUAGUAGGGGUAAAGGGAAUUUCCAGUGGAGCGAUGAAAUGCGUAGAUAUUGGAAAGAACACCGAUGGCGAAGGCACUUUACUGGGCUAUUACUAACACUCAGAGACGAAAGCUAGGGUAGCAAAUGGG